rnacentral:rRNA from 1 species
GCCGAACAGCUAGCCUCAUCACCAAUAAGUCGACAAUAUAAGUAAGUAAGUAUAGCCUAACACAAUAAAUCAAACCAUUUUCCUCUAUCUUAGUAUGUGUGACAGAAAAGAUUCCAGAAGAGCAAUAGAGAAAGUACCGCAAGGGAAAGAUGAAAGAGAAAUGAAACAAUCCAUUUAAGCAGAAAAAAACAGGGGUGAAACCCCGUACCUUUUGCAUCAUGGUUUAGCCAGCACUAAUUAAGCAAAGGGAACUGCAGUUUAAUUUCCCGAAACCAGGUGAGCUACCCCGAGGCAGCCUACGCAUCUAGGGCUAACCCGUCUCUGUGGCAAAAGAGUGGGAAGAACUCCGGGUAGGGGUGACAGACCUAUCGAACCUGGUUAUAGCUGGUUGCCUAGGAAGUGGAUAGAAGUUCAGCCUAGUACACUCCAGAUUUAACAGAUUUUUAAAAAUAAAGGAAAACAUAUUAGAGUUAAUCAAAGGGGGAACAGCCCCUUUGAUAAAGGACACAACCUUAACAGGAGGAUAAAGAUCAUAGUUUUUAAGACAUAUUGUUUUGGUGGGCCUAAAAGCAGCCACCCAACAGAAAGCGUUAAAGCUCAAACAAAACGAAGUUAAUUAUACCAAUAAUAAAUUUUAGUCCCCUAAAAAUACUAGGCCACCCCAUGCCCAUCAUGGGAGGGACAAUGCUAAAAUGAGUAAAAAGAAGAUUAGAACUUCUCCUAGCACAAGUGUAAGUCGGAUCGGACUAACCGCCGACAACUAACGGGCCCAAUAAAGGAGGGAAUUGUGACUUAUAAAAAAAUCAAGAAAACCCCACUAUACUCACCGUUAUCCCCACACUGGAGUGCACCUAAGGAAAGACUAAAAGGAGAGAAAGGAACUCGGCAAACGCAAGUCUCGCCUGUUUACCAAAAACAUCGCCUCCUGCAAUUAACGGUAUAGGAGGUCAAGCCUGCCCGGUGACUAUUAGUUUAACGGCCGCGGUAUUCUGACCGUGCAAAGGUAGCGUAAUCACUCGUCCUUUAAAUAGGGUCAAGUAUGAAAGGCUAAACGAGGGCUUAACUGUCUCCCUCUCCCAGUCAGUGAAAUUGAUCUGUCCGUGCAGAAGCGGACAUGAUAAUACAAGACGAGAAGACCCUUUGGAGCUUCAGGUACAGGACUUAACCGUGUUGAAUAAGUUAAUAAAGACACCAACCCCUAACGGAACUAAGACUUUACCUUCGGUUGGGGCGACCAUGGAGCAAAGAGCAACCUCCAGGUGGAGUGGGGGAAACCCCUAGAACUAAGAUGAGCCAUCUCUAAGUCACAGAAAUUCUGACCAAAAAUGAUCCGGUCAUUUGACCGAUUAACGAACCAAGUUACCCCAGGGAUAACAGCGCAAUCCUCUCCCAGAGCCCAUAUCGACGAGGGGGUUUACGACCUCGAUGUUGGAUCAGGACAUCCUAAUGGUGCAGCCGCUAUUAAGGGUUCGUUUGUUCAACGAUAAAAGUCCUACGUGAUCUGAGUUCAGACCGGAGCAAUCCAGGUCAGUUUCUAUCUGUAAAGCUACCUCUUCCCAGUACGAAAGGACAGGAAAAGGGGGGCCCAUACUCUAAGCAUGCCCCACCCCAAAUUAAUGAACAAAAAUUAAUUAAAGGAAGGAAAGCUACACUUUAGACCAAACUCUAGAUAAGAGCUA